rnacentral:rRNA from 1 species
CAGUAGCCGCGGUAAUACGAAGGGGGCUAGCGUUGUUCGGAAUUACUGGGCGUAAAGGGCGCGUAGGCGGCCAUUCAAGUUAGAUGUGGAAGCCCUGGGCUCAACCUAGGAAUUGUAUUUGAUACUGUUUGGCUUGAGUUCGGGAGAGGUGAGUGGAAUUCCCAGUGUAGAGGUGAAAUUCGUAGAUAUUGGGAAGAACACCAGUGGCGAAGGCAGCUUGCUGGGACGGUACUGACGCUGAGACGCGAAAGCGUGGGGAGCAAACAGGAUUAGAUACCCCAGUAGUCCCUGUCUCUUAUAC